GUACUUGCUUCAGCAGCACAUAUACUAAAAUUGAAACAAUACGGAGAUUAGCAUGGUCCCCGCUCAAGGAUGACACACAAAUUCGUGAAGUUUUUUAUCUCAUU